AUGAACGCUGGCGGCGUGCUUAACACAUGCAAGUCGAACGAAGCACUUUAUUUGAUUUCCUUCGGGACUGAUUAUUUUGUGACUGAGUGGCGGACGGGUGAGUAACGCGUGGGUAACCUGCCUUGUACAGGGGGAUAACAGUUGGAAACGGCUGCUAAUACCGCAUAAGCGCACGGCAUCGCAUGAUGCAGUGUGAAAAACUCCGGUGGUAUAAGAUGGACCCGCGUUGGAUUAGCUAGUUGGUGAGGUAACGGCCCACCAAGGCGACGAUCCAUAGCCGACCUGAGAGGGUGACCGGCCACAUUGGGACUGAGACACGGCCCAAACUCCUACGGGAGGCAGCAGUGGGGAAUAUUGCACAAUGGGCGAAAGCCUGAUGCAGCGACGCCGCGUGAGCGAAGAAGUAUUUCGGUAUGUAAAGCUCUAUCAGCAGGGAAGAUAAUGACGGUACCUGACUAAGAAGCACCGGCUAAAUACGUGCCAGCAGCCGCGGUAAUACGUAUGGUGCAAGCGUUAUCCGGAUUUACUGGGUGUAAAGGGAGCGCAGGCGGUGCGGCAAGUCUGAUGUGAAAGCCCGGGGCUCAACCCCGGUACUGCAUUGGAAACUGUCGUACUAGAGUGUCGGAGGGGUAAGCGGAAUUCCUAGUGUAGCGGUGAAAUGCGUGGAUAUUAGGAGGAACACCAGUGGCGAAGGCGGCUUACUGGACGAUAACUGACGCUGAGGCUCGAAAGCGUGGGGAGCAAACAGGAUUAGAUACCCUGGUAGUCCAUGCCGUGAACGAUGAUUACUAGGUGUUGGGGGAUUGACCCCCUCAGUGCCGCAGUUAACACAAUAAGUAAUCCACCUGGGGAGUACGACCGCAAGGUUGAAACUCAAAGGAAUUGACGGGGGCCCGCACAAGCGGUGGAGCAUGUGGUUUAAUUCGAAGCAACGCGAAGAACCUUACCAGGUCUUGACAUCGAUCUAAAGGCUCCAGAGAUGGAGAGAUAGCUAUAGAGAAGACAAGUGGUGCAUGGUUGUCGUCAGCUCGUGUCGUGAGAUGUUGGGUUAAGUCCCGCAACGAGCGCAACCCUUAUCUUUAGUAGCCAGCGGUUAAGCCGGGCACUCUAGAGAGACUGCCAGGGAUAACCUGGAGGAAGGCGGGGAUGACGUCAAAUCAUCAUGCCCCUUAUGACUUGGGCUACACACGUGCUACAAUGGCGUAAACAAAGGGAAGCAAAGCUGUGAAGCCGAGCAAAUCUCAAAAAUAACGUCUCAGUUCGGACUGUAGUCUGCAACCCGACUACACGAAGCUGGAAUCGCUAGUAAUCGCAGAUCAGAAUGCUGCGGUGAAUACGUUCCCGGGUCUUGUACACACCGCCCGUCACACCAUGGGAGUUGGGAAUGCCCGAAGCCAGUGACCUAACCGAAAGGAAGGAGCUGUCGAAGGCAGGCUCGAUAACUGGGGUG
rnacentral:rRNA from 1 species